UACGUAGGGUGCUAGCGUUGUCCGGAAUCAUUGGGCGUAAAGAGCGUGUAGGCGGCCCGAUAAGUCCGCUGUGAAAGUCCAGGGCUCAACCCUGGAAUGCCGGUGGAUACUGUGGGGCUAGAGUCCGGAAGGGGCGAGUGGAAUUCCUGGUGUAGCGGUGAAAUGCGCAGAUAUCAGGAGGAACACCAAUGGCGAAGGCAGCUCGCUGGGACGUGACUGACGCUGAGACGCGAAAGCGUGGGGAGCAAACAGG
rnacentral:rRNA from 1 species